rnacentral:rRNA from 1 species
GUCGAACGCAGUAGCAAUACUGAGUGGCAAACGGGUGAGUGUAAUGUGGGAAUCUGCCUUUUGGUUUGGAAUAACACGGGGAAACUUGUGCUAAUACCGGAUAAGCCCUUACGGGGAAAGUUUUAACGCCGAAAGAUGAGCCUGCACUUGAUUAGCUAGUUGGUAAGGUAAAAGCUUACCAAGGCAACGAUCAAUAGCUGUUCUUAGAGGAAGACCAGCCACAUUGGGACUGAGACACGGCCCAGACUCCUACGGGAGGCAGCAGUGGGGAAUCUUGCACAAUGGGGGAAACCCUGAUGCAGCGAUGCCGCGUGAGUGAAGAAGGCCUUUGGGUUGUAAAACUCUUUCGUCGGGGAAGAAAAUGACUGUACCCGAAUAAGAAGGUCCGGCUAACUUCGUGCCAGCAGCCGCGGUAAUACGAGGGGACCUAGCGUAGUUCGGAAUUACUGGGCUUAAAGAGCUCGUAGGUGGUUAAAAAAGUUGAUGGUGAAAUCCCAAGGCUCAACCUUGGAACUGCCAUCAAAACUUUUUAGCUAGAGUGUGAUAGAGGUAAGUGGAAUUUCUAGUGUAGAGGUGAAAUUCGUAGAUAUUAGAAAGAACACCAAAUGCGAAGGCAACUUACUGGGUCACUACUGACACUGAGGAGCGAAAGCAUGGGUAGCGAAGAGGAUUAGAUACCCUCGUAGUCCAUGCCGUAAACGAUGUGUGCUAGACGUUGGAAAUAUAUUUUUCAGUGUCGCAGCGAAAGCAUUAAGCACACCGCCUGGGGAGUACGACCGCAAGGUUAAAACUCAAAUGAAUUGACGGGGACCCGCACAAGCAGUGG